GACGAACGCUGGCGGCGUGCCUAAUACAUGCAAGUCGAGCGGACGAAUCGAAAGCUUGCUUUUGAUUCGUUAGCGGCGGACGGGUGAGUAACACGUGGGCAACCUGCACUGUAGAAUGGGGUAACACCGAGAAAUCGGUUCUCAUACCGGAUAACACGAAAAGUCGCAUGACGUUUCGUUGCAAGACGGCGCAAACUGUCCCUACAGGAAUGGCCCGCGUCGCAUUAGCUAGUUGGUGGGGGAACGGCUCACCAAGGCGACGAUGCGUAGCCGACCUGAGAGGGUGAUCAGCCACACUGGGACUGAGACACGGCCCAGACUCCUACGGGAGGCAGCAGUAGGGAAUCUUCCGCAAUGGACGAAAGUCUGACGGAGCAACGCCGCGUGAGCGAAGAAGGCCUUCGGGUCGUAAAGCUCUGUUGUUAGGGAAGAACAAGUAACGGAUUAACUGGCGUUACCGUGACGGUACCUAACGAGAAAGCCACGGCUAACUACGUG
rnacentral:rRNA from 1 species